GGGGGGGGGGGGGGGGGGGGGGGGGGGGGGGGGGGGGGGGGGGGGGGGCCGGCUGGUGGGGGGGGCGCGCGGGGCGAGCGGGUGAGUGCCGCGUGGGUACCCUGCCCUGGACUGGGGGAUAGCUUCGGGAAACUGGUGCUCGUACCGGCUAGGAGCUCCUGCUGCAGUGUGGGGUGUGGAACGUUUCGGCGGUUGGGGAUGGUCGCGCGGCUUAUCAGCUGGUUGGUGGGGUCGUGUCUUACCCAGGCUCUGACGGGUAGCCGGCCUGCGAGGGUGACCGGCCACAUGGGGACUGAGAUACGGCCCAGACUCCUACGGGAGGCAGCAGUGGGGAAUAUUGCACAAUGGGCGGAAGCCUGAUGCAGCAACGCCGCGUGCGGGAUGACGGCCGUCGGGUUGUAAACCGCUUUCGCCUGUGACGAAGCGUGAGUGACGGUAAUGGGUAAAGAAGCACCGGCUAACUACGUG
rnacentral:rRNA from 1 species